GAAAGAAAAAUGAGAACU
rnacentral:miRNA from 2 species